GGAAGUGUUCAAACUCUUUCCACAGUAGGCAGAGUAGCAUAAUGUCCCGGUUCCAAGCACCCAGCUUCAACAACGGCCAACCCACGGCCGCUUAUGUGUCGUCCAACCGGUGCCUCUCAUCAGGGCAACACCUAAGAGCCAGGGAGGCGACUUACUAAAGCACGAAUUCGCUCAAGCCACUUGCCUGCCCACAACACUGGAGCAACCUCCCUUGGCACUUAAAACAAGCAAGACCCAGACUGCUCAUCCCGGCCCCCAGGCCCUGCGUGAUCCGAUCCCUCGGCCUUGCCCACCAGCCUCAGGGCCUUCGCUCACAGGCAGCUGAGUUCACGCCCGUUCUCCCUCGUAGAGCAGGAGCUCUGAGAGCAGGACCCGCCUCUCGGGCACGUCUACCCUUUCCGCAGCACCUCGCGUGUGGCGUUACUGGGACACGGGUCUCCAUGGGACACACGCUUCUGCACAUCUUACGAUCAAGGAGCUGGUAAUCCUGCGUUCUCGACCAUCUCUCCAAGGGUGUUCGUACAGAGAGCAGCUUCGGGAAAUGGGGUCUCCGGCCCAAGCAAAGGCGAGCAGGCAUGCUUAGCGGCCAUUUCAAAGCUUGCCUGGAUCCAGGAUUCUUCUCCUGUGAGCAGCCCCACGCACACCGGCAUCCCUGCUUUGCGUUGCCCUGUGGGAAUUGGAGUUCAGCCCACGAAAAGAACGCUGACACUGUUUCCCGCUUGGCUGUGAGUGAUAAAGCCCGUUGCCUCUGACCCAGGAAUGUCAUGCCUUCUGCCAGCACCCACGAAACAGCGGCAGGCCAGUUAGCUUACGAGUAGGGCAAAAGCCCAGAUUCUUUUUAGAUCUCGACAGGUGUGCGCCCAGUGUGUGUUUGCUACGUAGAACCACGCACUCUCUCCCGAUGGGCACCGAGCCCUUCAGCUCCCCCGCUGAUGUCAGCAGACGUCGGUGGGUCAUUGCUGUCCCGGCUGGAAGAUGAAUCAGCGCGGAAAUCCUCAGCCAGAGAAGCCAAAGAAGCUCCGUAUCUAUGUCCCUCCCCUCUCCCUCCACUCCGGAUUUCCCAGCUGGACCCUCAGGGCUCGAAGCAAAGACCCCCGCGUGGCACGUCUGACGCUUCC
rnacentral:lncRNA from 1 species